GAUGAACGCUAGCGGCAGGCUUAACACAUGCAAGUCGAGGGGUAUUGGUUUUCGGACCAAGAGACCGGCGCACGGGUGCGUAACGCGUAUGCAAUCUACCUUUUGCAGAGGGAUAGCCCCAGAGAAAUUUGGAUUAAUACCUCAUAGUAUAGUACUUUGGCAUCAAGGAACUAUUAAAGUCACAACGGCAAAAGAUGAGCAUGCGUCCCAUUAGCUAGUUGGUAAGGUAACGGCUUACCAAGGCUACGAUGGGUAGGGGUCCUGAGAGGGAGAUCCCCCCACACUGGUACUGAGACACGGACCAGACUCCUACGGGAGGCAGCAGUGAGGAAUAUUGGACAAUGGGCGCAAGCCUGAUCCAGCCAUGCCGCGUGCAGGAUGACGGUCCUAUGGAUUGUAAACUGCUUUUGUACAGGAAGAAACACUGGUUCGUGAACCAGCUUGACGGUACUGUAAGAAUAAGGAUCGGCUAACUCCGUGCCAGCAGCCGCGGU
rnacentral:rRNA from 1 species